AUAUCUCUCUGUACGGGAAGGAUGAGAAGCUUCGACUAAGGUUCGAUUCGAGCGAAAGCGAGA
rnacentral:sRNA from 1 species